UCAACUUGAGAGUUUGAUCCUGGCUCAGAACGAACGCUGGCGGCAUGCCUAACACAUGCAAGUCGAACGAGAAGGCACCUUCGGGUGCUGGACAGUGGCGCACGGGUGAGUAACGCGUGGGGACCUACCAUACAGCACGGAACAACGGUUGGAAACGACUGCUAAUACCGUAUACGCCCAGCCUAUUAAUUUAGGGGGGGGAAAGAUUUAUCGCUGAAUGAUGGACCCGCGUUGGAUUAGAUAGUUGGUGAGGUAAUGGCUCACCAAGUCGGCGAUCCAUAGCUGGUUUGAGAAGAUGAUCAGCCACAUUGGGACUGAGACACGGCCCAGACUCCUACGGGAGGCAGCAGUGGGGAAUAUUGCACAAUGG
rnacentral:rRNA from 1 species